AAGAAGAACAAGAAGAGGAACCAACGACCCCAAUUGGGAUAAAUAUAUCUCGACAGUCAUCAACAAGAUCACAUGAAGAACAAGGAGAACAACAACAACAAAGACAAGCUCGUGGUAAACGAGUCAAUUUCCAAACUAUCGAUGAAGAUGAACCAGUAAGACAACCUUUUCCGGCAAUGCCACCUCCUAGUGGUAGAGCUGUUUCACAUGUGUGGUCGUAUUUCACAAAAGAACCAACCGAGAAUCCAGAUAUUUUCUUAUGCACUUGUCAAAUUUGUGAAAGUCAAGGAGUAAAGCCCUUAGUUUCAUACAGUUUCGCCAGAGGUGGUGGUACGGGAUCUUUUAACAAAUAUUUGGCAAAGAAGCAUGGAAUCACAAAAGAAACUCAUGCAGCAAGCG